GACGAACGCUGGCGGCGUGCCUAAUACAUGCAAGUCGAACGCAGUGGGGACGGGUGAGUAACACGUGGGUAACCUCCCAUCAGAGGGGAUAACACUUGGAAACAGGUGCUAAACCGAUACUGAUGGAUGGACCCGCGGUGCAUUAGCUAGUUGGUGAGGUAACGGCUCACCAAGGCCACGAUGCAUAGCCGACCUGAGAGGGUGAUCGGACACAAGGGAAGUGAGCAACGGCCCAGCCUCCUACGGAAGGACGCAGUGGGGAUUCUUCGGCAAUGGACAAAGUGCUAACGGAGCAACGCCGCGGGGUGGAAGAGGGUUUUCGGAUCGUAAGACUCUGUUGUUAGGGAAGCGGUAUCUAACCAGAAAGCCACGGCUAACUACGUGCCAGCCGCCGCGGUAAUAC
rnacentral:rRNA from 1 species